CCUACGGGGGGCAGCAGUGAGGAAUAUUGGUCAAUGGACGAGAGUCUGAACCAGCCAAGUAGCGUGAAGGAUGACUGCCCUAUGGGUUGUAAACUUCUUUUAUAUGGGAAUAAAAUGUUCCACGUGUGGGAUUUUGUAUGUACCAUAUGAAUAAGGAUCGGCUAACUCCGUGCCAGCAGCCGCGGUAAUACGGAGGAUCCGAGCGUUAUCCGGAUUUAUUGGGUUUAAAGGGAGCGUAGGUGGAUUGUUAAGUCAGUUGUGAAAGUUUGCGGCUCAACCGUAAAAUUGCAGUUGAAACUGGCAGUCUUGAGUACAGUAGAGGUGGGCGGAAUUCGUGGUGUAGCGGUGAAAUGCUUAGAUAUCACGAAGAACUCCGAUUGCGAAGGCAGUUCACUGGACUGCAACUGACACUGAGGCUCGAAAGUGUGGGUAUCAAACAGGAUUAGAUACCCCUGUAGAC
rnacentral:rRNA from 1 species